rnacentral:rRNA from 1 species
UGGGGAAUAUUGCACAAUGGGCGCAAGCCUGAUGCAGCCAUGCCGCGUGUGUGAAGAAGGCCUUCGGGUUGUAAAGCACUUUCAGCGAGGAGGAAGGUGGUGAACUUAAUACGUUCAUCAAUUGACGUUACUCGCAGAAGAAGCACCGGCUAACUCCGUGCCAGCAGCCGCGGUAAUACGGAGGGUGCAAGCGUUAAUCGGAAUUACUGGGCGUAAAGCGCACGCAGGCGGUUUGUUAAGUCAGAUGUGAAAUCCCCGGGCUCAACCUGGGAACUGCAUUUGAAACUGGCAAGCUAGAGUCUCGUAGAGGGGGGUAGAAUUCCAGGUGUAGCGGUGAAAUGCGUAGAGAUCUGGAGGAAUACCGGUGGCGAAGGCGGCCCCCCUGGACGAAGACUGACGCUCAGGUGCGAAAGCGUGGGG